UGGGUUGUAGUUCAUUGGUAGAACACUUGCCCAUCACAUGCUAGACCCUGGGUUCAAACCCCUAGCAACCCUG
rfam:Ictidomys tridecemlineatus contig073342, whole genome shotgun sequence.